rnacentral:rRNA from 1 species
GAGUUUGAUCCUGGCUCAGGACGAACGCUGGCGGCGUGCUUAACACAUGCAAGUCGAACGGUGACCUCGGAGCUUGCUCCGGGCGAUCAGUGGCGAACGGGUGAGUAACACGUGAGUAACCUGCCCCAGACUCUGGGAUAACAUCGGGAAACCGGUGCUAAUACCGGAUAUGAGACGAGACCGCAUGGUCAUCGUCUGGAAAGAUUUAUCGGUCUGGGAUGGACUCGCGGCCUAUCAGCUAGUUGGUGAGGUAAUGGCCCACCAAGGCGACGACGGGUAGCCGGCCUGAGAGGGCGACCGGCCACACUGGAACUGAGACACGGUCCAGACUCCUACGGGAGGCAGCAGUGGGGAAUAUUGCACAAUGGGCGCAAGCCUGAUGCAGCAACGCCGCGUGGGGGAUGAAGGCCUUCGGGUUGUAAACCCCUUUUAGCAGGGAAGAAGCGAAAGUGACGGUACCUGCAGAAAAAGCGCCGGCUAACUACGUGCCAGCAGCCGCGGUAAUACGUAGGGCGCAAGCGUUGUCCGGAAUUAUUGGGCGUAAAGAGCUCGUAGGCGGUUUGUCGCGUCUGCUGUGAAAGUCCGAGGCUCAACCUCGGAUCUGCAGUGGGUACGGGCAGACUAGAGUGUGGUAGGGGAGACUGGAAUUCCUGGUGUAGCGGUGGAAUGCGCAGAUAUCAGGAGGAACACCAAUGGCGAAGGCAGGUCUCUGGGCCACAACUGACGCUGAGGAGCGAAAGCGUGGGUAGCAAACAGGAUUAGAUACCCUGGUAGUCCACGCCGUAAACGGUGGGCACUAGAUGUGGGGCUCUUUCCAUGAGUUCCGCGUCGCAGCUAACGCAUUAAGUGCCCCGCCUGGGA